ensembl:rRNA 5S_rRNA 5S ribosomal RNA
CUCUACACUCACACCACCCUGAAGGCACUGCCCUUGCCUGACCUUGAAAGCUGAGCAGGGUGGGGCCUGAAUAGCACUGGGAUGGGAGAACGGCUAGUAUGUGAUGAGA